rnacentral:rRNA from 1 species
UAAACGACUCUCGGCAACGGAUAUCUCGGCUCUCGCAUCGAUGAAGAACGUAGCGAAAUGCGAUACUUGGUGUGAAUUGCAGAAUCCCGUGAACCAUCGAGUCUUUGAACGCAAGUUGCGCCCGAAGCCAUCCGGCCGAGGGCACGUCUGCCUGGGCGUCACAC